GUCAUAGCCAAAAUACCCCUUGGAGGCUUAGAGGUUAGAGCAACGUCAGCCUGAAGUUGUUCAUCUGUUGAUAUUGCAUCACCAAAUUAGAAUAUUAGCUAUCAUUGCCCCAACAAUAUACAUGUUUGAGGGGCCUGCACGUCCUUGAAAGAAAAAAAAACGGUACAUCUCACUUCAAAUCUCAGGUCAUUACCUGGAAACAAAUCAUCAGGAAUCUCAGAUGUCAUAUUCAUCAUAUGGCAACCGACGCCCUCGGACUCAAAAAGGCAAAAAAAGCUCAACCUUCUAGACAGACUAGGACUACAGCCAAGUUAGAAGAGCCACACUUUGUAGUCUGUGGUGUAACACUGAGUAGCAAUGAAGAUGAUGAUUCCUUUCACGAAACCAAAAAACUCAAAUCUGAUGGUAUCCACAAAUCCUCUGAAAAAUUGGAUGGCAACUCUUUGAACAAAGAACAGCCAAACAUUCAAGAAUGUGCAGCGUCAAAUGCUGUUUCAAUGGAUUUACCUGGUAUUGAUGCAGAAGAAAGGCUUGGAUCAAAUGAUUUUCUCCAUUGGAAUGGAGUUGCUGGAUUGAAGGAACCUUUCUUUCCCAUACACUGCAAGUCUAUUCGAAUUGGAUCAUACAGGUUUACUCCAGUGGGCCAGGUUUUAUUCUCAUCCAAAGGAAUUAUGCUACAAGCUCCAGUUUUUCACAACCAUAACGAGUCAUCAGAAAAGAGUGCAGUAUGGGUCAAUGUAGCUAUCCCAACUCAGCAACUAAUGAAAGUGGAUGCUCAUUUCAGCCAACAGCUUAAAGUCAUCUUCUUAAAUUGUCUUCCAAGCUUGUGUCGACAGCUUUCGUCAAAAUUGGGGUUACCCAAAAGUGGUCCAUACUGGGAUUCUGCUAGCGAAGACGAAAGUAAAAAACGAUUAACCCUUUUUCCCGGCAAUUUGAACUAUGCAACGAAGAACGCUAUAAAAAAAGUCUUCGUUCCUCGAGGUGUCUAUCAUGAAAUUAAUCAUGCCGAGGCCAACCGACUCUUGGUUUUUUCUGCAUCUCCAGAAGUUCGUGAUGCGCUUAAUCGUCUCCACGCAGGAACUUCGGUACCAGCAGAAACGAGUGUUUCGUCGAUAGAUUCGCCAGAUGUGAUUGGUGACAAAGAAGAUGCUAUUAAAGAUUUACCUAUUGAUGCAGAAGAGAAAAUUGGAUCAAAUGAGUUUCUCCGUUGGAAGGAAAGUGGAUUGAAGGGACCUUUCGUUGCCGUAAACUGCCGGUUUGUUCGUAUAGGAUCAUAUAAGUUUAUUCCAGUGGGACAGGUGUUAUUCUCGUCCAAAGGAAUUAUGCUACAAGCUCCAGUUUUUCACAACCAUAACGAGUCAUCAGAAAAGAGUGCUGUAUGGGUCAAUGUAGCUAUCCCAACUCAGCAACUAAUGAAAGUGGAUGCUCAUUUCAGCCAACAGCUUAAAGUCAUCUUCUUAAACUGUCUUCCAAAAUUUUGUCGCCAGCUUUCGUCAAAAUUGGGGUUAACCAAAAGUGGUCCAUAUUGGGAUUCUGCUAGCGAAGACGAAAGUCAACAACGAUUGAUAUUGCUGCUCGUUAAUUUGGAAUAUGCAGAGAAGAACGCAAUCAGACAAGUUUUCUUUCCUCAAGGUGUUUAUGACGAAAUUGACCAUUCCGAGGCCAACCGACUCUUGGUUUUUUCUGCACCUCCAGAAGUUCGUGAUGCGCUCAAUCGUCUCCGCGCCGGAACUUCGGUAUCAGCGGAAAGGAGUGUUUUGACAACUGUAACCAUGGUGGCGCAGAAGACGUUACCAAAGUCGAAUUUCCAACGUUAUUGUUCCUAAACUGAGUUCGUCUGCGCGUCAUAUGGCAAGCCGAAUCCAUCACAAACAACAAAUUUCGGCGCACAUUAUCAAAUCAGAAGUAGGUGAAGUUGUUCCUAAUGUUUCGACAUCUUUAAGUUGGAAUAUCUGCACGUCUGGUUACUUCUAAUUUAGAAUCGACAUCCAUUACUAUGAGAAGACUCCUGGAACAGAGUGAUUAUUCCAGGUACGUGGUAUUCAAGCAAGCAGUUUGGUGUUGCUGUUAUGUGCUUAUGUUUGCUCAGUGUUUGCUGCCUGACAUCAGCUGAAGAGGACAAGACAAUAUUGUUAAAUAUCUCUGGUGUUUUUGUUGAGUAGUAAUAUUUAAGUGUGCCCGUUUUAAGUGAUAUCAUGUUGAAGUUGUUUCACUUUUCAAUUGCAUGUGGCAAAUGCAAUCAUGCAUUAUAUAGGCCCUAAUACUUUAUGAUUCUGACUAUUCAAAUCCGACCGGCCAGCAUUGAUAAUUCGCUGAAAGUUUUGUUUAUUUAUCGUCCUUUUCACUAAUACCGCUAUAAUACUCGUAAAUAACUAUGGACUCGGAUAUGGUUUGUUUUUUCAAACUUGUGAAUUCUAGCAUAUUUGACGGGAGUUAUUCGGGGAAUUGUCCGUUUUGGGGGUUGGAAAGAUAAUUUCUAUUUCGCAGAUUUCCUAGAGCUGAAAUUCUGCAAAGACUUUGAUUGCGGCAAUUUUAUUUGAAAAUUUAGAUUCCUGACAAUUGUCAACAGAGGAAAAAAUCCCGGAUUCCGGGUGCCAAUAUAGCCAUUUUAUUAUUUUCGGUUUCUAAUUUAGUUCCGAGCUUGGUAAAUCUUACUAUGACGCAAAAAUGAACCUACAUUUCGUGAUCCUCAUCAAAUUUAUGUUCGAUUUGAUGUGUCCUUGAGAAAUAUCGAAACAUCACUGAAAUUUGAAAAAUAACGCGAAGUCUAGUUCAGGAAACUUUACGAUUUUGGCAAAAUUUAGGUUUUAAUAAAAAAGCUUUCAUUUUUUCCCCAUAUUUCGUGGAGUUCACAGAUAUAGGGCUUUUUUAGAUCGCGAAAAUCUGACUUC